ensembl:lncRNA
AAAAGAAUGAAAUAGGUUAUUUAGAGCUGCUCAUCUGCCCCCAGCAGUGGGGUCUUGCACACAGCUUGCUCUGCACUGGACUUUGCCCACAGAGAGUUUUAGCCAGGGAACCUGUUAAUUUUAAACCAAAAGUGUGCACUUCUGCACAAGCAGAUCUGGACCUCUUUUUGGGCAGAAGCUUUUCUCCUGCUCUUGUCUUUCACAGCUCGGGAAAGAGGAAAGGUUCCCAUUGCUAAGCCAGGUCCAGGCCAGUUUUGACUCUUUAGAUAUCAGCAUCAAAUUUUGCAAGGUCUCGUGGAUGAAUAAUAAACCACUGCAUCGCUUCCACAUGCUGUGUUCUGUGGUCUUCAGGAGGAAAUGACCCUUAUCCUUUCCCAAACCAACAGUUAACACACCUUUGUUGAUACGUGUCAUACUUCUGAGGCUCAGAGCUCCUAACAGUCCCUGGGGACUGGCUUCUGCACCAGAGACAAAAAGCUGAGCAGAACGUGCAGAGGAAGCCGUACAAAAGUAACCUAUUGCCGUGCUGUUUGGCUGCUCUUGGCUGUCGAUGACAAGUGGACUGGUGGUGUUAGGCAGCUCCCAGGGGGAGGAUCAGAAGUACUCUAUCUAUGACACCUUGUUUAAGGAGCUGUCUGGAGGUCUCAGCUUGGUACCGAGAAGUAUGUGAAUUUAGCAGAACAGAAGCAAAGGAAGAAGAAACUGUCCAAGAGUUGGUGACCAUGUGUGCUGGGAAGGAUGAUGAAAUAACAAAGUAUUCCCAUCAUGAUUUAUGACUGAAGAGAAAUGCUGUCCAGGUGAUGAUCCAGUCCAUUAUCUCGACGGAGGUGCUGACCACUGUAGGGAAGCACAGAGAGCUGAUGUACAACAUGAUGGAGAACAAGCAGAAGAAAGGGGGCUUCCAGGUUACAACUGAAAAAAGCAUAAUUCAUAUGAUUUGCAAUAAUUGGAUGCAAAAGAAAAAAAAAGAAAAACAGAAAACUUUAUCCUAUUGCUCCUCCCCCGAGCUGCCGGAGCUCAGGGAGCGUUGGGAUACCACUCUUAGAUGUAGGGUGUGGGUUUGGGUGUUCCUAUGUGGAGCUGAGGGUUGGGCUUGGUGAUCCUUGUGGGUCCCUUUCAACUCGGGAUAUUCUACAAUUCUGUAAAGAUUACCCAUGUUAAAUACAUGUUUCAGAGGGUAAAGCUCCCCUGUCUCAAUACCACCCUCGGUUGGUCUAGAAUGCUCUAUUUUUUCCUUCCAGUUUUGUGUUUUACUAUUCAUAAAUCAAGAUUUCUUUGCCCUGCUCGGCACCUUCCCAGCCUUUGCAGAUCAUUAAUACCAAAACAGGGCUGUUAAUCUCUCGGUCCCAAGGUGCAUUACCCCACUUGUAGAAAGAGGGACUGGGACACAGAUGGGCCUGUGCCCAGAGCCACUGAGCAUGGGGAUGUACCCCAGGGCCACGUUCACUCCCAGAACAGUUCCCCAUGGGGUGCCUGGUGGUCCUGCACUGAUAGCAUCCAUCAUGUUUUGGAGAGGUUUGGGGGGUGGACCACGGGAUAAAGCUGGGCACAGGGUUUUCUGUCUGCAGUGAGCUCUGUGCUCCACAGCAGUUUUGCUGCCUGUUCAGCAGUACGUUUGCAAUAGCAUAUGUCCUUCCCUGAUUGUACUGAACCCUCAUUCCCAUGGCUUGUACUUCUCAUCCUAUUCAACCCUUUCAACUCCAGCAGUAUGUAAAAGAGGCUAGCUUUAUUUUUCAGGUCUCUUCCUAUCAGAGAAGGUCAGGGACAAAGCUUGGCAAUGAAAGGUAAUUUCUCCAAACCAGUGGGCAAGCAGUGUGGUAAGAAUGCUUUUAAACAACAACAACAAAAAAUCCAAUAACUUCCCUAUAAAUUGUCCAAGAGAGAAAACUUUGUGUUUUUGGCAUUUGUAGCUGUUUCAGCAUUUUUCUGUGUAAGAUGAAAAACUUUUGCAUUGAGCAAAACACAGAUUUAUGAUCAAUAAAGUGAAGUUUUAACAGUUUAUAGGAGCCAUACAUUCUUUUUUUUUUUUUUUUUUUUUUUUUUUUAAACUGAUAUUAAAAACUAUCUUUUCCUCUCAGCCAUGUUAGAAAUCCACCCCAGUGUCAGUCAGGGUUUCAGCACAGCAAACUUUGCAGAGAAAUUGCUGGCUGGGGUUUACUGCAGGACCAGUGGCCACACAAGCCACCCCUCCCUCCCCCUCAUGGGCUUGUGAAAUAAAGCUCCAGUAAGACCUGAGUAUGGAAUUUAAGGUGUGAGCCUGGACUUGCCCAGUGUUGAGAAGCUUUGGGAGCUGGAGGCUUCUGCAGGUCGUUCUCUGGACCAUACAGAUAAUAACUGUCCAACAAGGCUCUGCAGUUCUUACUGUAGCAGGAGCUACAGGCUGAGAGCAAGCAGCUGCCAGAAAAACCUCUGAUUUGCACAAGUGACUUUGGAAUGGCUGGUGGAUAUAUGAACCUUUAUUGGCACAACCUUGGUUGGGCUGUGAGCAGCCAGGGAGUCCCAGGGUAAUUUUAUCUCUCUCAAUUCUGAUGUGCAGGGGCACUGUGCGGUCAAAUCUUCUAGUUCUGGUGUUGCCCCCCUUACCUUUGCCUCACGCCUGGUAAUUGUCUCUGAAGACACUGAUUUCUACACCGACAAGUGUGCCAGUGAUACUAAACAUGCUCAAAACAGAAACAACUCUUUUGUUCCAAACAGGCCACUGCACUGAUUGUUUUAUAACUCCUAUAAGAAAAUCAUGUCAACAGAUCAUCUGAUAAAAGUUAUUUGGCCUUAGAUUUUCUACUAGCUUAGACCUAAAAUGUGAUUUGAGUAUGAAAUUACUGAGUAUAGGACUGUUUUCACUGCCAUUAAGACCAACGAGAAAUCUCCCUUGAUUAGAUUUAUUAUAAGCCAGGGAGCUGAGGAGAGCUUGUAACUCUUCUUUUGUAAUCCCACGGCCCUGGUUAUGCAGUCUCUGGGCUUUCUGCACAUUACAGCACAUGGAACUGCCUGAAUUGUUCUUAUCUCUUCAGCAUGUUCUUCUUUGUUAAGGCCUAUCUCAAUGCAAGAUCUACAGUAAAAAAUAGGAAAGUGUCCAUUACAAGGCAGGGAUUUGGCUUUUUCUCUCCAGAGCACGUGAUGAAGGCAAUAAAUUUGUCAAGGAGAUAAGCUGGACUCAACCCACCGAGAUCAGUGCCAGUCGGGUCCCCUUCAUCCCAUGAUGUGCCAGGAAAUUUAUUACCCGCUGUGAGAUUUAACUGCACAAAUCCCUGGUGAAUUGAUAGGAGAGGAGAACCUUGCUGAGGUUUAUAGGGGGGGUCUUAAACCCUUAAAUGUUGGUGGCAGUGGCAUCCCCAUAAAGCCCUGCCAGCGGUAAUUUACAGAUGAGGAGAUCAACUGUGUUUCCUCUGUGGAAAAAGGGGUUGAAAUAACUGGGGCUCUCCAAGCUGAGUCGCAGCGCUGGAGAAGGUCCACAGGGUGCCGCAGCUUCUGCAGAGCAUGCAGCUUCCACUUGAUUAAAUAAACCUGGGUCUCAGUAGAUCUGAAAAGUGGUUUUCAGAGAGUUCUGGCUAAGAGCUUGCAAGUUUUUCCAUUUCUUUUGAAGAGAAAUUUGCACUCAGAAAAUGAAAGAAUCUACAAAGUGAUAUUUUCUGAAGCAAACACUGACAUUAUGAGCAACUUAAGCACUUUCGUUGCAUCUCUGCACUAAACUGCGGCUCCCGACCGACAAAACCGUCUCUUGCUAAAAGCAACUGUUAUAAAAUUAUGACUAGCGCAUAUAUAACGUUUGUGUUUAACAAGAUGACAGAAAUGCCACCUUAGUAAAAACUGAUUAUGGUUACAGCUGAACAAUUCACAUCAUGCAAGAUUUAUAAUAUUAAGGUUAUGCAAUCAUCUAAUCGGAGAGACAAGCCUUGAGUAAUAAUAUGAAAUGCAUGUACUUCAAUCUGCAGCAGUAGAUUCAUUGCUGGUUUCUUAUUAGCUCAUGCUAGCAUUAGGGCUGCAUUAUCCAUUUUGCCAUAGUCUAAUUCAGCAUUUCCAUCUGAAAACAUGUGCACAAUAAGUGAUCUAUGCCAAACAAUGAAAUGGAAGCAAAGUCAUUUGAGUGACUUUGUGGCUAUAAAAAUAUACAUAAUCUGUAUGUCUUUUGGCAGUUCUCAAUACUUUGUGCUACAUUUAUUUGCAUGGAAAGUUUUCCCAAAAUAAAUAAAAACAGAUAGAAAUUGCCCUCUUUUCUCUUGAGCAUAAUGUUUUGGGGCUGGAGCAGUGCAAGAAUGCAUCUCACACGCUUCUCAUCCGGCAGGUAUGAGUCAGGUGUUCUUAUUAGAUGAUGAUUAGUGUUAUACCAGCUAUCUAGAAGUCACAGUUGUAACUUAAGAUGGCAUAGAGUGACUUAAAGUGUGCAUCUUUCAAUAUUGCUGAUUUUUAAAAUCAAAGAGAAUUUCAGUAUAUGUAUGUCAAGAAACAUAUCGGUUAAUUAUUGUACAGAGAAGUCAUAGUGUAACUUCUGGUUAAAAAUAUGCGACUUCGGGGGCUGAGAAGUUCAAGCAUUGCUUUUCAAAGGCACAUGUUACAAAAGAUGACAAGUGUUUAUAAUGUAAUGAUCAAACUAAUUGACCGAGAGUCAGAUUAAAACAAGACUUUUCAUGCAAAGUGCAGACUGAACUUUCCCCUUAACUGCUCACAGUGGGCUGAGUCCAUUUUCUGCAGCCUGUGCAGGUUUCAGUCCUGCAAGACACGGGUGCCUUGGGGCAUCAUGCGGCACUGGGAGGACUAAGGACCUUGCAGGACUGAAACCUGCAAGUAACAAGCUGUUUGGGUGCUGCUGUGUGGGUGGAUACAUCAGGCUUUUGCAACAAUCACAAUUCUCAGGGAAAGAAAAAAAAAAAGUGCUUCAAAGGUAAACAGAAGGCAUUUGUGUCCUGGAGUCUGAUUUAUUAUGGGAACUAUACAUAGCUGUCAUUAAAUGAACAGGCUAACAUGCAACUAUUCAUCACGGUGGGAAAUAUACAGGCCAUUCUCUGCUUGCCUGGAAUCGUUCAUAUUUUUGAAAACUAAAAACAGAGUCCAGGAGAGGAAUGAAUGCAUAAAAUGCCAUGAGAUAUUUGAUUUAUUCUUUUCAGGCAUUACCUCUCUAUGUUCUCUGUGCCCAAGAGUAUUAUUCAAAUCAAUCGAUCUCAGAAACUGUUUCUAGCAAUCUCCUGCUUCCCCCAAAACUCCCUGCUCAAGACCUUUAUCUUCCUCCUUCUGUUGUUAUUGUCAUUACAAUAGACUCAAACGGGUCUGUAAUUUUUGUUUGACUUUGAAGCCGCAUUUUGAUCCAAAGAUAUCUAUUCAUCUUCACAUUUGUAAUACCAGCAUUCCACCUACCAGCCUGCACGAGGCAAGCUGCAAUAUCCUUCAGAGCUCAGCUAAAACAAUUCUCAGCUUGCUGCUUAGCUACAGGCAGAACAGCAAACAGCAGCAAUGCUGCCUGCUCCAAACAGCUCUCUGGGUGCUGAUUCACAGGUGACUAUCAACAUUGAUAUAUACAUAUUUUUUCCUUAGUAACUACUAAUUGCUGAAGAAAUUCAGGUUUAUUUUUAAUGAAUGAGUAAAAAGAAUUUGAAACUACUUGUGGCUACAAAGAGGCAUAAUUGUCACAAACUAGAAAAAAUUACUAAUACAGCCUAAACAUUGCAAUCAGAAUGGCUGCUUCAACACAUAAUUAAACUUUAGUUAAAUCACAUCUUUCAUAGCAAGGCACCUUUACCACAGACAAGUGCCCUUUCCCACCUAAAUAUGGAAUUGCUUUCAGCUGAAAUUGAAGAAAAUUCUUUUGAUUUCUGGUGAAAAGAAAUAACCCAAGAAGGGCCAUGAAUGCCUCCUGAGCACAGAACAAACCUUUGGCUAGGAAGCAAACAGAAAUCUCCCCCACAGAAGGGCUGAAGGAGCAGGGUUGUGUGACCCUAAUGACACACAGGUGCUUCUCAUCACACCUGCUGACACACCUGCUGGGCGGCCUGUUCCAAACCAACUGCCCUCUGGGGCAGAACCUUUCCCUAACCCCCCUGAGCCUUCUGGAUACAGCUCCAUGCUGUUCCCUCAGGCCCUCUUGCUGUCCCCAGAGAGCAGAGCUCAGAGCCCUUUUGCCCUUCUGCUCUCUGUGAGGAGCUGCAGGUCACCAUGGUGGAGCUGCAGGCCUCCAUGAUAGAGCUGCAGGCCGCCAUGAGGCCUCCCCUCAGCCUCCCCUGCUCUGGGCCUAACAAACCCAGCACCCUCUGCUGCCUCUCACGUUGCUCAUCCCCUGCAGAAGUUUGUGGUGGAACAGACUUGGCCACCUGUGGCUCUGUGGGCAGACUUAGGGCCUUUCCUGAUGCUUCACAGACACUUUACAAAGUACAUAAAUACACAACAAAACUGUGAGCCAGUUAGUGCUGAAUGUGUACCAAGUAAUCACAAUCACAAGUAAUCUGUUUUCAUAAACAGAGCUGGUAGGUUUUAAAAAAUACUACCAUGUCUGUGACCUUUUCUUAAUUUUGUUAGGUGCUAUUUGAAAUUCUGGUCUUUCUAUUUAUGUUUGGAGUUUAAUUAGAACCAGUCACUUUCCUGCAGCUACCUGCUUGUAGGCAUGCCUGAGUUUAUACUUAAUUGUGGUGCUUUUGCACAGUUUCUCUUUUUUUCCUCAGGAACUGCUGCACAGAACUUCUUUCACAUGUGCAGACUAAUGAUGACAGCCUGCAUGUGCAUGAAUAGCAUGCUCUGGUAACAAAUCAGGAACAUGGAGAGGGAUUUUAAACUGCUUUGGGGGUGGUAACAUAGCUGUUUUCAGUUUAAGAUCUGUUUUCCUCUUCUUCCGCAGCCAUCACUUCAUUUCAUGAGAGGAGGUGCCAUGGAAAGCUCUCGACUCACUGUACAAAGAGAAUUAUCCCCUCUGAGCUCCCUUUUUAAUUCUUUCAAAGUAGACAAAGCAGAAAAGACCUGACAGAAGCGGUAUGAACAAUAAGCUGUGUUUUCCAGAAUGGAUGGUGACAAGCAGGAAGUUUUAAGCUGGGGUGAGAGCUAGGGGCAGAGAGAAGGCAGUUAUAGAAAGUUGCUGAACAGAAGUUGUUGUAUGGAGUCUUUAAGAGGUGAGAGAAAGAAAUGGAGAAGUAAAUACUGGUUCCUGAGAUGGUGGGUCCAGUGGUUGGGGAUACCAAGGAACUGAAUGGCAGUCUAGCAGACUUGCAUCCAUGUUUUCCGUAUUUGAGGGAGGCAUUUGAUGUGCAGGAAAAUGUUUAAGUGAAAAUGUAGGAUACUUUUGAUUCAAGUGUUCACUGAACUCUGUGGAACAUGCAAUUAGACUGAUGCUCUGAAAAUUGACUAAGUAUCCUGCUUGCUUUCCCACUUUCUUCGCUAACAGUAGAGUUCCAGGUGACAGUGCUUUUUGUGGCAAAAGUAUCUUAAAUUCUCACUGUCUGCUUGUUCCCUGCUCUUAGAUUGCCUCUCAUUUCAUCUGACAAGGCUAAAUAUAACUCCCCUCCACCCAUAAAAAGCAAGAGGCAGAGGUUUGCAAGAUUUGCCAAAGGGGCAAAACUUCAGGAUCUGGCUCCUCCACCAGAGGCAGCACGGCUCUAACCUGCAGUCUCUUCACUUCAUCCCAGUGCCAGACUUCCCAAAUGCACCUGAGUUGCCUUUGGAGUUGGUCUGCUGUUCAUUGCCUGUAACACUGCCCUUCCUUUGAAUUUACAAGGCAGGGGAGAACAUGGAGCCAAGUUCAGGAGCUGGUGAUUUCAUUUACGUAUCAGAGGCCAAAAGAAGCAAAUAAAAACUGCCACACAAAAUGAACAGGAGUUGAGACUGGCUAAACACCUUCCUGCAAAAUGGAUUUUAAAAGUGACUCUUGAACUCUUCAGUGGAAAGACAGAUUCAUUUUCAAUGGAGUUUGAUCUUGCUCUUCAGCUUCAUUUGUAAGACCAAUUACAGAGCAUUUUCUACAACAAUUACAGGCAUUAAAACCACUCUGUUCCAUUUGAUGAAUUUUAAUAGUAAUUGAACAGAAGAACCCAUCAACUGAGAGAUUGUCCAAUCAAGUAUGCCCACACAUUGAACUGUAAUUUCUAUUCCACAAAUGUGUAAUGCCAUUUGAAACUACCAAAAUGUCCUCUCCUCACCAAUAACCGAGCAGAUUCUCAAGGAUUUGUUCCUAAACAACUUUAUUCCUUGAGGUUUUAAGUACACAGAAAGCAUGUUGACCAUGCUUCUCCGGUGUACAUGCUUCUACCUGUGUACAGCUCCCCUGCAGAGCUCCUUCGAGCUCAUUUUUGGACAGGGCAUUUGUAGAGUUCUGGCGACCACAAACAUUGACCAGGUGGAAUCAUCUAGCACCUUUUGAUCCUCCUUGUGCAGAAAGGCAGUUUUGGAGGAUUCCCUUCAAGGAACUUCAUAAGUCACAGUAGGAGCUGGUUGGAUUUUUAAUGUUAUUGUAGAAAACAGAGUCCAUCGCUUGAACUCUGGCUUUGGAAUUUGCAAUUGGAUUCAGUUCAGUGUUUUCUCUUAUCAAGAAACAGUGUGCAGAAUGGUGGAAGGAAGAAACACAGGCCUGAAAUAGAUUAUUUGGUAAUGAAGAUAAGCCCCUCAUAGCUACAGAAAAAUAGAUGUUUGGUCCAGGAUUGUCCAGAUAUUUGCCUUCCACGUGGUCUCCACAGGCCAUGAGCCCUAAAGAGACUAUGAUUUGUGUUGUGAGUCCAAAAGCCACAAAUGCAACGCAGUAUGGCAGAGCUAAGAAGAGAUCAAAGACUCACCAAUGCCCUAGGACUCUGAAGGAUGCUAAUGUAUUUCUUAAUCUCUAUGCAUGAAUGUUUUGUUGUUAUUUUUUUCCUACUAGACUUGCUCUUUGUUAUUGAGGUUGGCCUUUGUGGUACAGAAAAUUCCUUGAGGGAAGUUGCUUCAUUGGAUUUGCUAGAAAACAGUAGAACAAAAGAACUAUUUUGAUGAACUUCUCUCAACGUGAUUUCCAAGCUAGCUUGGGAAACAAAACGAGAUUACUACAGUUUAGAUCAGUGGGAGAGAAAUGUCCAACUGUCAGAGCGUUCCUUUGAAGUGGGUUUCCCCUUGCCAGUGGUCGCUACAAAUUUAAGUUCAAUUUAAAGACCAAAGAUGAAGUCUUGGCUUUACUGAAGUCAAUAAGAGUUUUGUCACUGACAACUUGGAGGCCCGGAUUUCAUCUGAGUUGUUUGUACAGGCACUAACUUUAGCAUCUGCUGAGAGCUACAUGAAAUAUUUAUGCUGAAGAGCGAAACUGUAGUGUUAUCUUGCAGCUCCUUCUCAGCACAAAAAUGACACUGGAUCAGUGAAAAAUCACCAGACUUCUCUGUAAAAUGCAUAGUCUCAGUUGAGAAAUACCUCAUACAAGUGUGAGUAAAUUAUGAGCUAUAAUGUGUGAUAUAAAAGUAAUUACUGUAAAUGCUCUUCCUGGGAUAUGUAUAAUUUUUUCCUUUUUGUUUUGGCUUAGAACAGUGAAAAAAAGGAACAGCAGAGGUUUUCCCACAAAUUUAAAGUUCUAGCUCCUCUCCAACUAAAAUCUUGAACCAGAGUUCCUCCUAUUUAAAAAUGUCUGCAAAUCUUUGCCUUCAAAAGUUUAACAAUGCAGCUUCUAGUGAAGAUCAUAGAAUCAUAGAAUCUAUUGAAGGUUAUGUAUUUCUGUACAUAUGCCAAAUAUAACUGCUAGAGCUCUUAUAGGCAAACAGACACAACAUCUUAGAGCACAAAAAGCACCAUUUGCAGAGGAAAGAAAGAUUUCUUUUCUGCAAAGAAAUGGCAUAGUUAAUGUUCAUGCAACAUCUCUGCAUACCUGGCAUCUUUAUGGACUGGCACAAUCAUGCAUAACUCUGUGAGGGUCUGGCUCCCACUGUGCUAGGCAAGUGAUAGUUUUUUCCCAUGGUGAAGGAAGAAACUUAAAGCAUCAUGGAGCUAUGUGUUACCUGUCUGCAGCCCUGAGAGCAGGGAAUACCUUGGGAAAGCUCUCCGGAGAAGCGAGCCUCAAAAGUGUCUUCCAACACACUCAAUAUUGUGAAAUGCAGACAGGAAAGGUCUUGACUCAAGCUUCUGGGAUGUGGACAAACACAAAUCUAGCAUAAAUCCUUUUUUAUUUUUUAUUUUUUUCCCCAGGUUGCUGAGGCUUCUUUACAAUGUCUUUUGCUCCCAGAUUCAGACAAGGUCCAAACAGGUGAGAGCCAGGAGAAGUGAAUGGUGGCAGGGGCUGGAGACAGAGCAACGGGGAGAUACUUGGAAGGAUUUGUGUUCAAGGAAAGCAUGCAAAUAACAGGCCAGAGAAAUUUCUUUUCUCUCUUCUCCUCCUCCCCCUUUCAAAUAUCUUCUCUUAUUUGUUUAAUUUUGUGCAUUUUAGCGUUUCAGUCACAGGCUGCUAGUGUGUUUUUUUUUCCACCCUUUACACACCAUCACAUACUGCCGGCCUUUUUUUGACCACAGUCUAUGUUGUAAUAAUAAUAAUAAAAAAAAACUGGGCCUGAUUUUAAUUUGUGUAAUGUUUUUGUUAAAAAAAUAAAAACUCAACAGCCUAAUUAGGAAAACCGUUAAAUGGCUGCAAUUCAAAUAUAAUUCUAUUAAAUUCUCCCUGUAAAGUUAAUGUUACAGACUUUUUAACAGAUGUUUUAAUUAGACAUUGUUAUUAAAGGGAAUACUGUAGAAAUUAAAAGCAGGUCCUAAAUGUGUUAACAAAGACACUUUUCUUGUGUGGUGCCGAUGGUGGCAGAAACCUUAGCAAAGAGAUUUUGGCAGCAGGUCAUGAAAAGAAAAAGAAGAAAUGCGUUAAAGGGAACAAAAUGCGCUAGGAGAUAUGCAUUGCUCAGCUACUAUGUGAUGGGGGCUCAUUUCACAGCCAGCACCACCUCAGGCCAUUGCCUGAGCUGGAAAGAAGGUAGGGAAGAUGCUUGAGCACAGUGCUGAUAUUACCCACACAGGCACCGAUUUGUCAGAGGGAUUUGGCUACGAGACACUUGCAGCUUGGAGAAUUCCAUAGGAAGCAUCAGCAUUACCAGUAGUUGAGGUUUCAUCUGCUGCCUCCAUGUUUUGGUUUGUUUUCUAACUGUGGAUCCUAGAAUCAAGCAACAACUUAGGGAGUGUGUUUUUUGCAGGAUGGACUUCCUCUAAGCCCUUCCCACUGCAGGGAAGCACGUAUGCUGCAGGCUUGGAAAUGAGAGCAAGCAAUAAAACAAACAAAGCCCAGGUUUGUAUAUGUGGGAAGGAAUGCAUCAGCAAGCCACUCAAUAUUCUGGGCCUUGAACAGACAUUUUCUGAGUAUAGAACACUAGAACCAAACUGUGGGUUAAAAAGGUGACAGUUGUCGGCUUCACACCACAUCAUUUUCUGGCAGGGGCUGUGGUGUGUGCUGUAGCCACUAUGAGUGCUCCACUGCUUCAUUUUGUGCUUAACUACUGCAGGUCUGCUGCAAGGUGAUGCCAUUUUGUGGGACUGCUACAUAACCCGGCAGUGAAGUCUCCAGGGGUGCAAUUGUGUGCUGAUGGGGACUCUUCCAGAGGGUGAUUCAGAGCAGAAAUCAGUGGACAUGAUGGAGGAAAUCUGGACAGUUGGAUGCCCUGUGUUGGAUGCUUUGUCAUUAGUCUAAAGACAGGUUCUCUUUCAGGCUCCAUUUUAUCUCAAUAUGCAGUGGAAAAUUAUACAUCUCACAGUUCAUUUUCUUGCAGCUUUCUGCCACCUGUCACCUGUGAAAUGGUUAGACGGUUAAACGUGGGCUCUUCGGAGCAGUUUGAUGCAUAAUGUAAGGAGAAAGUGAUAGGUAGCAUCGAUGCACAAGCAUAUAACAUCAUCGAGGGGUUUUGAUGAUGUCAUAAACCGUAAAGGCAGAGUUUGGCUAUGAUAUCAUCACCAGGCCAAUGUGGUUCUUUGGGGUUUUUAGAAGAAGAAAUUUAUUAGAUGAAUAGGUGGAUCUGAUGUUUUAAGGGCAUUUUUUACACCCAGUCCCUCCUCUUGUUUCUGAUAGAUGAUGCUGCCGUUGCAUCUACGAGUUAGAAAAUGAUAGCUGUUCUUAUCAGCAAUGGAUGUGUUCUUUGGAACACAUGUUAUAUGUGGAAUGGAAAGUUGCUAAAGUAUUGUGAGAUUGGCUAAGAAGAGAGAAAAGCACCAGAGGAGGGAUCUCUGAGAAUUGCAGAACAUGUUCAUGCUGAUCUGUUAAUUAGCAUUAAACAACAGUGUAGGAAUGCAGACAGGUAGACAAGGUAGCAAAACUGCAUGAGAUGGAAUAAACAACUCAAAGAGAUCUAAACCCUCUGAUUUCUGCUCUCUGUGACAGGAACAACUCCUUCCUACAACACUGAGAGAAAAUCUGAUAAUCACAGAUAUUCAGCUCUGAAUAUUUUAUCCCUGUCAUUGAAGUCUCUGUUAUUGCCCACUCUGGGAAGAAAGAUACUCAUCUAGAGAAAAAAGAUCCCUAGAAAAUCAUGUUAAAGUGAUGUUAUCACUGGUAUUAGCUAAAAGUGUCAACUCUUGUUCCUCCCUCCAUCCAUAGACUUCAUUCUUUCAGCCACGGUUACCUUUCUGCGGACUGGAGGAAGUCCAGCCCCACAGCAGGACUUCUCAGAGCUCAGAGGUGUCUCAAUGAGAUGAGUGAUGUCUGCCCAUGUACCCCACAAGCAUCUCUACCAGAUAGUUUUUUUGUUUUGUUUUGUUUUUCCUAAACUCUCACUCUCAUCUGUUUUCAAGAUUUGUUUACCCUUUAUUUUUCUUUGUUAUCCCUCCCUUUUAGAGGCCUUUAGCUUAAAAACAGUGUGAAAACCAAACUAAUGCAAGUAUUCUAAUUUUUGUGACUACCAGAAUCAAGCAAACUGGAAAAUGUGCUGUCUUGAGGGUAAAAGAGAGGUGCAAAAACUCUUUAACAGAGACAACUGGUUAAUUAGCAGAUGUGAAACCAACGUAAAAAAACCAGAACCUAGAAAACAAAUGAAAAUCUCUAUAGCAAUUAUUUCCAGAAAGGUAACAUUUUCCCAAUUAAAGCCAUUCUGAGAACUUUAGCUAAUUAUGUAGGUAUUCUCUCUCUCCUUCCCUUUCUUUCUCUCUCUCUCUUUUAUUAAAGUCCAUCAGGGCUCAUGAUGUGUGGGAAAAGUGCUAACAUUUGCAAAUUGCUGGUUUAUGAUAAAUGAAUUGUGGAAACUCAGCCCCUUGGUUGGGGCCCAGCUAGAUUGCAAAGCACCAGCAUCUCCGGCUGCUGCAGCCCUGACCCUGCCUUUACACCCAUUGAUCACAACUGGUGCAUAGCCAUGACCACCAAAUGCAUACAUUGUAGCUGGGGGACUUGCUUUUCCCAUAGUAUUUCAUCAUCGUUCCACAUCGCAAGCACCAUAGUAACCUUUGGCAUGCCGUCCUGUAAGACUAAUACCUGCAGGAGAUUUCCUCCUGCCCCAAUAAUCACUGCUUCAACUGCUCCAUCUUUAAAAAACCCUUAGUCAUUAACCCAGCUUUGAUUUUCAAAAAAUUCCCGUUUAUUUCAAUAGCGCCAGGAGGGGAAGUAAGGGGUGAGCACGUUGGAAAAGCAAAAUCCCUAAAGAGAGAAAAGUACACUGAAGGAUACCAUGGAGUGACACGUAGGGUGUGCUCUCGCCAUUGCUCUUCAUGAUUGCUGAAUGCUCGGAGUGCAGGAGCAUGUACAAGGCCAACAACCCAAAGUAAAACCAUAGUCAAGACUGCACAAGUAUAUAAGGGCCAGGCUCUGCCCCACGUGGGAGAAAAAUCACACAGGUGAGACAUGCAAAGUUAGCCUGGGAAGGAGGACACAGCACCACGCAGCGCUGCAGGGUGAGCUUUGCAUUGGCUUUGGGGACUAUUUAUGGUUUCAGGGAAGACAUAACCGAGAGGAACGCAGCUCUUAGCAGCUGCACGUCAGCUGAGAUUCCUGCACAGGGAAAUUGUUUCCAUUCACACUUUGGAGUCUGUGGCCAGGUCCUGAUCCUGGUUUAAUGAAAACAAUGCCUGAAAGUCAAACGCAUUUUUCUGACAGGCACAUGGAGGUGCUAUUUUAUCUACAGGGUCUGACAGAUGAUGCUGAGCAUAUGUAAAAAAGUGCACGUGUGUGCUUGUACACACGCACACAUUUGAAGCCCUCAAAUUAGCAUUGGAUGUGAAAUCCACCAUCCAUGAAAGAGUCAGGGUAAGAGAUUCUAGUGUCCCAAAGAGGCACAGAAUAAUGAAGUUAUGGAGAGCUGGGAAAUGUUGGUAUUACUUUAUUAGAGUGUAUUGAAGAAAACUGGUGAGCUAGUGCUCUAAAGGUUGUAUUCAAUAAAAAAUGAUUCCUCUGGUUUCCAUGCAAAGCCACUGAAGUACCAAAAAAUCAAUUGUAGUCAUUGAAUUGGGCCAUAAGAUGGAGCAAAAUGGCCCUGGGAUGGAGCAAAAUUCACAACAGUGCCAGAAGAUGUACAGUCUGUGGCCAGGGAACGCUUCCCCAUUUCACUUCUGGUUUUGACCCACAUGAGCGCAGGACUGAUGCAGCAACCCUCCGCUGCCCCCAGCAUUGCCCACUGGCCCCCCAGCCACAUGGGAAAAGCCUUCUGCUUUCUUCUCUGUGCUAGAAUUCUCUCAAAAUGGACGAAUUUGGUGCAAAACCUGCAAUGUGCAUGCAAUGGGCUACUUUUAGUUCAGUUCGGGGAGGUCAUUUACCAAUGAAAUGGAGAAAUGGAGGUGGGGAGCCGGACGCAUCUGCAGAGACUGUGCCUGAACACGUUGCAUGUGAAUAACGUGAGCUGGGUUGAAAUUGGUUUUGAAAUCAGAGUUGAUCAGAAAAGUGAAAAGUAUCUGAGGAGAGAAAUGUUGGAAAAUUCCUGCCAGAAUUGGUUGGCAUUUUCCAGGAGCUCUGUUGUGAAUUCAGUGUCUGUGUCGGUUCUCUCUUGUCUUUAUUGGUGCUCUGAAGCACAGGGUCUGAAGCAAAAGUUAUUGAAUUUUCACUAAACCCUCCCUACAAGCAAAGGCUUUUUCUGCUUUAAUGUUCAAAAAAGUCCAAGUCGCAGCCACCACCUCUAGCAUGUGCCCAUAUCUUUUCUCAUUAUAGGCUGAGGUCCAAAACCAAUACGAAUUAAAUAAAUAUCCCACUGAGAGCUGCACUUUUGAAAACUGCCUUAUUGCAGUGCAGAUGUGCGCUAUCUAAAAUGAGCUUAAACGUUUUAUUUAUAUAUAUAUAUAUAUAUAUUUAAAUUAAGAAAAUAAAAUAAAACCUAAAUAUUAUCCUGGAAGGAAGUGUUUGCAUUGGUGGAUGUUUGAUUUUCAUUUUUCUCCCAGCAUGCUCGAUCCUUUCAUCCUGUAAUGGUUCUUCUCUAUUAAUCCUUCUCAAAACCCACAGGUAGAGAUGCUUAUUGAUAGAAGGCCAACGUGUAUCUCAGUUUACAAAGGCAUAUUAAAGGAUACAAGUAACAUAUUUCUCUUGAUGUCUUCUUAUUAAUGCAAUUCCACUCAGAACAUUUUGGCAUAAGAGGCAUUGCCAGAUGGAAGAUAAAACUUCACUUUUAUGAGUAUUUUAAGGAAGAAAACAUUUGGUUUGCAUCAGUUCUAAAUGAAUAAUAUUUAUUGCCCUAAUGAUUUGUAUUUUAUAACCCGAAUAACAAAAAGCACUGUCAAUUACUUAGUAUUUUAACAAGGAUUAAAAAAAGGUCUGAUAACAUCAAGUCAGUUUAAAUGAUCAAGUGCUUUUAAUGCUAAACUCUAAUAACCCAAAGCAUGGGCUGUUUACAUAAUAAAAAUAAAUAAACACUGACCACAGCUUGGCUGUAUUUAAGGAUUCUGUCAUUUGUUACCACAAGUCGCAGCUCACAGCAUGCUUUGGGGAGCUCAGUGUGUUACAAUUACAAACACAUCAAACGGGCUCAUUGGGGCCCUGCACACAUCAUGGUGUGCAGAGAUGGGGAGUUGUGGGGCUGCUCCUGGGUGAGUGUGGGGAGCAGAGGGCUGCGUUCUCUACCUCUGAUUUUCCCUGGACAUCAGCAGGUCUUCUGUGCUUACAAAAGAUAAUCUUCCUCUGAUCUUUACCCAUCAAUAGUUUGAUUAUAUUUAUCUCUCUCCUUUACUGUAGAUAAUAAAAUUCCAUGUUUUUCUUCUUAAUUUGCAUGUGUAACUCCUGCUGCUGAAUAUUUUUUAUUUGAUGCCAUUACAGGAAUUAAAUUCCAAAUCAAAUCAGCACAUGGAAGGACCACUCUCAUUUCACUGAGCUCAUUCCAGCAGAAGGGGGAUGAGGAGGCUCUAACGCUUGCAAUAUCGUCCAUGUGUUCUAUUUGGUCCUAGCGUUCAACUGCAGGAAAAGCUGUUGUCUGUGGGCUGUCAGGAGCUGUACCGAGGUGUCCCCAGACUUCUGGAGAUAAAGGAGGACUUGGAAAUACCUGGCUUUUUUUCAUGGUAUUGCAACAGGGAGGAACAAAGUGCAAAUAAUUUGGCGUAAGGCCCAUGGAAGUCAUGCAAGAUGCGCCAUGGAGUGGUACUAUCCAGAGAGAACUUUCUCCCUCCAUAAACAUUUAUCUUGCACUCAAGGCCCACUGGCCUUCAGCAGAGCUGCACUGACCGCCGCCAGCUCCAGACUUGGAGCACACUCAGCAGCUUCGCGCUGCUUGGGUAUUCACAUGCACCAAGCAACUAUCAAACUUCCAGUUUACAGCUGCCUUGUGACUGAAUAUCAGCCUUUCUUUUUUUUUUUAUCCUGCAUGAAGUCACGUUUCUGCCUUUUAAAUGGGAAGUCACUUCUGCAAACUCUGUUCUUGCUCCAUUCAUGCAAAGGAACCAAGAGGGAAGGAAAAGAAGAUGCGGCCGCUUCGAAACAAAGCAGAACAAAUUAAAGCUCCCAUGUGGCUGUGGUGCAGAUUCCUGCUGUCCUCCUACACAGGCUGCCUGCCCUUGACGGAUGGAUUUUAUUUGUCUGUCUAUAUUGUGGGUGCUUUUUCAGAAGGGCGAAGGGAAGCAAGCUACAAAAAGAAGUGCUGUCGCUGGGAAGUUAGUUAUUAACCGCCGGGCGCCUCCCUGACAUGACGGAGGUGCUGCAGCCUCUCUGAAGUUUGCAUGUCUUUAUGGAAGGAUGUCAUGAUGUGACAGACACAGGGAUUUAAGACAGAUCUUUUCCUGCCUAGGGUCCCCUCUGCUUCUGCAGUGUUUACAUGGGAUCGCUGAGCUAUAUUGAGCUUUCAGUACCAAAUGCAUCAGUACUGUCCACGUGCAUCGCCCGUCAAGGAAGAUUAAGUUUGCUCUGCACAGCAGCACAGAAAUACUCCCAGGGCAAAGCAGGACGGCCCCAGCAAAGAUCUUUCUUUUACUUUCCCCACUCUUCUCAUUAAAGCUGUAGGUGGCUGAUGGAAAUAGCUUACCUAGCAAGGAGACAAAUGGCCAAGAGCUGAUGCGCUGCAGGAAUUCACCCCGUUGUGGUUCUGGAUAGAGCAGAGAUGUGGCAGCACUUUGCAAGUGCUUAAUCCACUUUGUUGAAUCAGAAUUAGAUUUAACACAUAGUCAAUCAGGAAUAUAAUUCCCAUUAUUUUGUACUGCAUCUGACCCUGAAGGCAUAAGCAAAACAUCCCAUCUGAGCCCAGAUCCACAGAAGGGUUUUGCGUCACUGGGGGGAAAGCUGGGAUCCCCAUCUCGUGUAGGAGUUGGACUUGGUGGUCCUUCUGGGUCCCUCCCAACCCGGGAUAUGCUCUGACUCUAUCAUCUUGCUGUGGACCCGUCCCACAGUGUCACUGCUGCCCUGCCCACGCUGGGGCACGCAGCCCUCAGGAGCAUCAGGUUCAGGGUGCUGGAAUGCAGAGACACUGCUACUGACAUCCACGUGUCCUCGGUGGGCUCAGGUGAGGAGAAGGCCCUCAGUGUAAAGCUGUGUUACUGCACACCGCUCUGAGGAGCUGAAGAACAGUGAUGUUUUUCUCAGGGCGAGCUCCAUUAUCUGAAGUAAUCUAAUCAGAGCACGUUAAUGAAACUAGGCCUAAAAGACUAACCAAUAAUCAAUACCACAGUGUGUUAAUAUUGUGUACCACAGACCUAACACACCUAUUUUCCAUGCUUUAUUUCAUUUUUCUGUGCUGUUUUCUCUCCUUAUGCAGAACAGCCAGGAAGGAACUAGCAUCUCCUCCAAACUCCAGCAACAUUGGAAAGGUCCCUUUUUGGUAAUAUUUCAGUGAUGAUUCACUAUGAGUAGCCAUAUAAAAAAUUAACACAUGGCAUUUCAGAACAGAGCUAAAAAAAAUAAGGAGACCUGAGUUCAGGGACUGAGCUGUGCUGAGCUGCUGCUCCCACCAUCAGUGCAUUUCCUUCUGUGAGCAGCCCACGAGAGAAGCAGUGUUUUGAAGGGAAGGACGAGCACUUUGCACCAGCAGGAUGUGCAGAGGGAGUGGAGGAGGCAGGGAGACUUUGCUGUUUGAUGCCCGUAAUCCCGUUAUCUGUAGAGGCAUCACAAGAUGGGAGUGGAAGAGAAUGGGAGCAGAUGAAAAGACUUUAUUUUCUUUAUGCCCUUCCUGGAAGGCUAAACCCAUCUUUUUUUUUUCUAUGUCAUUGUGCUUACACAGAGAGCAUGGAUUCCAUGACAGCGAUGACAAGCUCAGAUACAUCAAUCAUGCAGCAGAGAUGGGCACACAAAACUUUGCUCCUCAUCUGAUGACCCGCAGGCACCAGGACCACUAAUCAAAGAAUCCAAAUCAUGCUUUGCCUGUAGUCUGCAUCUGAAAUUCAUUCUUCUAGAGUAAUUUCAUACUUCAGAAGAGUUCCAGUGUUCAAUGUGGGAAGCGUGGGGCAUCUUGGUCCUCAUAGCUGUCUUUGUACUUAAUCAGAGGGAAGAGCUUUUCCUCUACUCCACAUUUACUCUUCACCUCAAGCAGAAGUUCCUCAGCCACAAUUGCAAGCUGGUGAAUUGCACUUGAAAAGGCAAAGAAAACCUAUAUUGCUACAUAUAUAUCUUCAACCCACCACUCCUGGUGCACCUAAAGCUAUAACAGAAAGCUCCCUGUAGGAUGAUGCCAACCAAUAUCAGUGCACUCAGCUCAGUGUGUUGAGUUCUGGAUAAAAACAGAAAUAAUGGAACAAGCCUCCUUGCUUCAGUCACAUAGAAUCAACCCCCCCAAAAAAGCUACCACCAAACUUGACUCAUUUUUUUAAAGAAAAAGGCAAUUUUUCACAUUUUAAUAGCUUUCAUUCCAUGUCUUAAUAAAUGCAUGUUUGUUGAUUUGUGUAAGCAUGAUGUAGGAUUCUGCAAAUGAAUGUAAUCUGCAACAAGGGGAUAGCUAACCACUAGCUAACACUUUUGAAUAAUGAAUCCCUACUGUAUCAGAUGGACGCUAUUCAUAAUAAUUCCUUGCUUUUCUCAUUUUGUCGUGUACAGUAGCGAUUAAUCAAUUUGCAGUGUUAUGUCACCCGCAACAAAUUGCUAGCACCAAGACAAAUUUAUUGCUUUAUGAUAAAAGAACUUGUUUAGGUAGAAAUAAAUUAAAUUUGGGGGUUGUUAUUUGAGUUUGAUGUUUACAUAUAUGACCCAUGCCACACGGGCUGGCGGAGCUAAGGGUAUGCAAUUAUUACUCCAGUGUUCUGAGGAUAGUUCAAAGAGAUGCAGAAGCUAAUGGCAUGUUUGUACAGCUAACUAGUCCUUGAGGACACCAAGUCCCCCUGGGAGCUUUCUGUAACCUGGAUGAGGCUCUUCACAAGAAUUUGGAAUGGUUGUCAGUCCGGAGUUGUGUGUUGGAGGUUUAGUCCAUUGAAGAUGGCUGGGUGCUCUUCAUUCUGGGGGUCUAGAAGACAGGCAGGUCCCAGCACCCCAACAAAUACUGCAUCUAUGGAUCUUCUUGUGAGAGUGGUGCUGCUUUAUGGGAAUGGACUGAGCAGAAAUAGCUUUGCAGGAGCAGCUCUGCUCUCCUAUAACAGGACACAGACUCAGGGAUGCUCCUAGGAUGCUUGGUGGAGAUGCCCAGCCCUGAGGGUGAAAAACCUGCUUAGCUUCCAGCAAUAAGAAUGCCCAGAUCAUUGCCUUUAUUUUAUUUUAUUUUACCGUUAUUUUUUAUUUCCUUCAACCUUUGACAGACUCUGGUCUCCUGCUCCCCCAUCAAUCAGCUUACUCUUCCUCACACUUUCUCCUUCCCACUGCCUCAGAAAUCACUUUGACUCUUUCUCCCUGGGUUAAGUACUGUUACUUCCCUUUCUUUGCCCAUUUCUUCCACUCUUCACUUUUUCUCAUUUCUUGUACUCCUGACCACGCACUUUCUGUAGCACUGGAUAAUGCCUCUCCCCUCCCUGCUGCUCCCCACUAAUGUCCUUGUCAGCCUUCCCCUGAAUCAUCACUGUACCGUCCCAGAAGAUGUUUAACUGAGAUUAUCCCUCAUUGGAAUCACAGAGCUGAGAAAAACCAAAUGUAUCCAAUGCUCCAGUUCAUCAAGGUGACCCCAAAGCCCUGAGAAAAUAGCCCAAAGGGAGAGGAGAGGAG